ACCUGGCUGGCUCAGUCAGUUAAGCGUCUGACUUCAGCUCAGAUCAUGAUCUCACGGUUCGUGGGUUCAAGCCCCGUGUCAGGUU
rnacentral:tRNA from 1 species